ACACUCCUACGGGAGGCAGCAGUGGGGAAUUUUGGACAAUGGGCGAAAGCCUGAUCCAGCAAUGCCGCGUGCAGGAUGAAGGCCUUCGGGUUGUAAACUGCUUUUGUACGGAACGAAAAAGCUCCUUCUAAUACAGGGGGCCCAUGACGGUACCGUAAGAAUAAGCACCGGCUAACUACGUGCCAGCAGCCGCGGUAAUACGUAGGGUGCGAGCGUUAAUCGGAAUUACUGGGCGUAAAGCGUGCGCAGGCGGUUAUGUAAGACAGAUGUGAAAUCCCCGGGCUCAACCUGGGAACUGCAUUUGUGACUGCAUGGCUAGAGUACGGUAGAGGGGGAUGGAAUUCCGCGUGUAGCAGUGAAAUGCGUAGAUAUGCGGAGGAACACCGAUGGCGAAGGCAAUCCCCUGGACCUGUACUGACGCUCAUGCACGAAAGCGUGGGGAGCAAACAGGAUUAGAUACCCCUGUAGUCCC
rnacentral:rRNA from 1 species